AUGGAGAGAAAAGUGGGGAAUAACAGAGGGGGUGGGAGGGGAGGGGAGGGGAGGGCAGGGGGGAGGGCAGGGGAGUGGGUGCCCCCAAGAAGGGAGGUUCCAGGAAAGCGAAAUGCAGUUUGGCAGCCGGAGGGCCGCGGGCCCCAGCGCCGGGGGGCUGGGGGAGGCCGGGGGCGGGCCCUGGACCCACGCCAGCUCGGUCCGCGCGCCGAGGGGGAGGGCGGGCAGGGCGGCCUGGGGGAGGGGAGCGGGGUGAGGGCGGGACACGGGCCGCGGCCGCCUACGGCUCCGAAGCUCGGGGUCUCCUGGGGCGCGGGGCCGCGGGGCCGAAGACCCCGAUCUGCAGCCUCCGCGAGGCCUCGUCCUUCACUGUGCAGAUGCGAAGCUUUCAAGGACACGUCUGCACCGGCCCGGCGGGGGUGCGUGUGCGUGAGUGUGUCCGCGUGCGUGCGAGUGUGUGCGACCGGGGGUGCUGCUGCAGGGGGCGACCCCGGGCGCCCCCACCCGCGCCGCUCCCGGCCGGGGCCCGCAGCUCGCAUCCCCGCGUCUUCCGGCCCCCGCGGCCCCGGCCCGGGAUCUCCGCCCGCCCCCGCCCCGCCCCCACACUGCGGCGCCGCCGCCGCCGCCGCCGCCGCCGCCGCCGCCGCCGCCGCCGCCGCCCCGGCUCCCACGGCCCGCGGCGGGGGCAGGGAGGAGCCAGGCACGACGUCCCCCCCCGCGCGCCGCCCGGCCCUCCGCGGGGAGGUGUGCCCCCCAAGUGGCACUCUCGCCACCCCCGCCGCCCCUCCCAGAUCCGCUGGCACCCCGCACCCCCAGCCACAGGUGGCCGGAGCAGGAUCGCUGCGCAGCGCUCCCCGGCCCGGCCCCCGAAUCACCCCGCGGCCCGCCCCCGGGGGCCUCCCGGGUCCCCCGCCCCGCCGGGCCGAGGAGGGCCGGGAGCCGGGGGGAGGGGCGGGGGGCCGGGUCGUGCCAGGCUGCCAUUUUCUGCCGCCGCCGCGGAGCCUGCGCGGGGCCCGGCCCCCGCCCCCUCCCCCGCUCCCUGCGGGCCGCGGCGGGAGCCGAUCUCUCCGGGUCGGGGUCCGCGCCCUGCAGCGCCGCGGCCGCAGGCCCCAGGCGGGGCCCCGGGGCGGGGGCAGGGCCCGGAAGGCGGGGGCGGCCAGGCCGGGGCCCCUGCGGCAGCGCCGGGCCGGGCACCGCGGCGGAGGCCGGCGGCGGAGGGGGCCCCCCGCGGCAUUGUAUAGACUUGAACUUGAGCCCGGAGCCGGGCGGGGGCGGGGGCGGGGGCGGGGAGGGGGCUCCGCGCCGGGAGCGGGCGGGCGGGCGGGACGGGAGGGGGCGCCUGCGGAGCCCGCGGGGACAUAA
rnacentral:lncRNA from 1 species